GGUUAAUGAUAAUGUUUUAUUGAGCAUUGUUUUUGUUUAAUUGGUAAACUGGCUUAUUCCAGAUUUUGUUAAAAGUACAAUGUAACAGACAUUUUUGUUAAAGGCUGCAUUUGUUCCAUUUUUUUUCUAGUUUUCAUUGAGGGAAAGAGCAAAUUUAUAUACUAAAUUUAUUUUUCUAAAGAUGUUACAAAACAAAUUCAUUAUACUCCCUGCACAUAGUGUUAUAUGCUUAUGAUUUUGGCAUUUAUAAUUAUUAUUAAUUUAUUUUUUUUGUUUCAAAAUAUUCUGGUACUAGCAAGGAGUUCAGAGUGUUUGGCUGAUUACAUGCGGAGUUUAAUAAACCUUUUGGAAAAUGCUUUCCAGACACCUUUUUUUCAGUGAUUAUUGUGACACUUCAGAUUAAGUUAAUGACUGGUGGGAUUGCUAAAAUCUAAGAAUCUACGUAAAAGUAAGUAAACUAAACACUUGAGAAUAUUUAUGUAAUUAUUUUUACACAAAACAGCAUGUGUAAACACAUUCUAUAAGCUAAAUAUUGCAUAUUGUGUAAAAUUAAAGCUUUUAUCUUCUAACACAUUUCAGGCACUGCAUUCAACCUUCACUAGAUGAUGACUUCAAGGAAACACAUUUCUGGACAAAAACAACACUAAAGUUCAUCAGGAAACAAUGGAAAGAGAUCAGGAUUGCAACUUUGGUUGCUGCAAUAACGAGUUUGAACACAAGGACUCUCUUUUCCUGACAAGUCUCUAUUUGGAUAAGAGACCUUUCAAGUAUAAAUUUGGGUAAGUUUUGUUGAUUAUUAAACAUCAAUUUAAAAGUACUAAUUACCUAUUUAACUCUUGCUUUACCUUACACAGAUGAGCAAUUCGGUGCUUCCAACUUUGCAGAAACGGGGUGUGGCCAGGCUCUAAGCUUCAGUGAGUACAUAUAAAUUAUAAGCUUUUAAAUUAACUGCCAUGCAUCAAUUUGUCAGAUCAUACAUGCUACUGUUUGGUCAGUUGCUCAACUAACCUUACUCUGUUGGUAUCACAAAAUUGUAGAACUAAAAUUACCUUUCAUUAAAAGAGUAUUUUAUUACAACCCAAACGUGUUUCCAAUCUUUCCUUGUAUAGCAGUGGAUUGUCCUAAUUUACAAUCUCAAAACAGAUUUUUAUGCUUGAUCUCAACUGAAGUGUAAUUUUAUUUUAGUUUAUAUUUAACUUAAUUUUAUGCUAGCUUUUAAAAAAUAAUAAAAAAUUAUAUUGCUAAAGUUGUCUUGCACAUUUACAGAACAAUAUUACCACACAUUCAUCACAUUGUCAUCUUAGUAAAGUUUGUUUGUGUUUAAAAAAAAAAAAAAGAGUAAAGAAAAUCUCAGCUAAAUUGUAUUAUAUUUAUGUACAUUGUUUACAUUAUUAUUAUUAUUCUUUUGAGUUGGAAAUAACACAAACUGCUCAAUAUUUCGAAACUGCAGCAAUAUUUACUGUAGCUAUUGUGUAAAUGCUAAAAUUAGUUAUAUUUAUUUAAUAACUAUUAAUGUUAGAAUUGUUCCUUUUUUGUUUCUUUUCCCCUGUUCACAGAGAGGACCUUCUAAAAGUUCCGGUUUUCUGAACAUUGUAUCCUGUGUGUAAGAGACCUCUCUUCAGUCAAGUCUGGACCCAGUCAGACGCCAGUCUUAAGGAUAAUUGAUGAGAGAUCAUGCCAGUCCAUAUUGAAAUAGUGACUACAUGCAAGACUUCAAGCAGUACUACAUUUCAAGUUUGGAACAUACACAGUCCUGUGUCUUCCGUCAAGUGUGGGCUCAAUACUAUUGUUCAACCAGAGCAAGCAGCCCUGAUGGAUGUACAGUAUAUGUCUUCAUUGAUUAUCCUUACUUUUAUAUAUGGACACAUUUUAUUUCCAACAUCAACACGCCUUUGUGAGUACACUGGUCAAGUUAUUGGAUCAGCUCAAACUGUUUUAACACAGUCCCUGUAUGUAGUUUCAUUAAAAUCUAAUAAUUAUAGUUUGUGCCUUCAGUUGCUAUAGACUGUAUUUACUAGUUCAUUUUGCAAUUCAAAAACCUGAUUGAUUGUUGUAAAAUCUGUGGCAAACAACUGUAAUGUCUUUUGUGUUUUACCGUGUUUUUUACGGUAAAGUUCUGGCAACCACAGCUGCCGGUAAUUUUCUGUAAAACUGAACUUUACAAUAAAAUACUAUUAUAUUUAAUACAGUUGUUUUAUGUUUAUUACGGAAAUAGAAUGUAGUUAGUUUUACAGUAUAUUUAUUAUACACAGUAGUUUACUGUAAAGGAAUUUACACUUACGACUGCUAUUUUUAAAGUAAUUUACUGUAAACAUGUUUACAAUACAUUUGUUUUAUUUAACAGAAAUUUACUGUAAACAUACAGCAGUUUUCAACUGUAAAAUUUACAGAUCAUCAAAAAGUAUUCUGUAAAGCAUUGCACGUUGCAACCUUAUAUUUUACGGUGAACUUCUGGCAACCACAGCUGCCGGUAUUUUACCGUAUAU